rnacentral:rRNA from 1 species
UACAGAGGUCCCAAGCGUUGUUCGGAUUCACUGGGCGUAAAGGGUGCGCAGGUGGUCGGGUAAGUCUGACGUGAAAUCCCGCAGCUUAACUGCGGAAUGGCAUUGGAUACUAUUCGGCUAGAGGGUUGGAGGGGGGACUGGAAUUCUCGGUGUAGCAGUGAAAUGCGUAGAUAUCGAGAGGAACACCAGUGGCGAAGGCGAGUCCCUGGACAACUCCUGACGCUGAGGCACGAAAGCUAGGGGGAGCAAACAGG